rnacentral:rRNA from 1 species
CCCUUAGAUGUUCUGGGCUGCACGCGUGCUACAAUGAAGCGUCCAACAAGAUGCGAAGCCGAAAGGCUCAGCGGAUCUUUGAAGUCGUUUCGUGACCGGGACAGUUGAUUGCAAUUAUUCGACUCGAACGAGGAAUUCCUUGUAAUCGCGAUUCAUCAUAUCGCGCUGAAUACGUCCCUGCCCUUUGUACACACCGCCCGUCGCUCCUACCGAUUGAGCGAUCCGGUGAAUUAUCUGGUGUGUCCACGCAAGCCAAUCCGUUUACGUGGGUGCGAAAUUUUGUAAACCUUAUCGCUUAGAGGAAGGAAAAGUCGUNACA